GUUGUGAAUAGAUCAUGGUGUACUCGUUUUGGCGAUGAUGUACUUAUUUGUGUGUAUUAACAUAUGAUGUAAGAUACGCUUAAUCUAUCUGUAUACAACAUCAAAUCUAAUCAGUUGGACUGGAGUUUCAGAAUAAUAUUCAAACAGUGUAAAUGUUUAUUAUCGUGAUUUUAAAAUAGCAGCCGUCUAUGGCCCAUAUCACGAUAUUUACUUGAGUAGAUGCAAUCCGUGAGCUAGCAGGAGAUUAUUAGAUUUUUAUGUAAAACGGUAAAAAGUAGAUUCUC
rnacentral:lncRNA from 1 species